GUAGUGUUUGUGUGAUUUUCAUUUUUCUUUUUCUUGUGAGAGGUGGUUUAGCUCAGCUUGCCCUUGAGAUGGACCAUUGGCUUCUAUUUAUAAGGGGGAAGAGCUUUCCCUUUGGCCAGUCUUAGGUCUUGUCAAUCAAAUUAGCUACAAUAGCGAGCUUGGGGGCCCGUGCCAGUGUUCUUGCCUUCAUUUGGCCGCCAAGGUCAGCCGCCAUCAAAUCAUCAUGACAUUGGUCAGUAUUAUAUUAUCAGUUAAUAAUGAGCUGACAUCGAGUAAGGGACUUCUGCAGCUGAUUGGUGGGAUAUGGAGGCAUUGACGUCAUAUUCGUCAAAUAUUCCUAGUUGAUUGGGGGGCUGACUGUUUCGACUGAAUGGUUGGUAGAGAAUCUGUAAUCAUGAUGUUUUCUGGGAUUACGACGGCAAUUAUUCCGAGCUGACCUUGAUGAUCCGCCUUGAACUUUUACACGGAUUAGGGGGUUUUAAGAGGUCAUUUAGCUUAGGUCGGAGCUCAGAGUACAACAUCCGUUAUUUCUGUUGUGAAUUACAUUUUGUUGGAUUACCAAACCGGCAGUAAAAAUUUCAAAAAUCAUCUCUAAAGCGAAAAUAUGAAUUUUAUUUUUAUUUUUUUUUACUAGCAAUCAGUUUUCUAGUUCAACAAAAUGAAAUUGAUGAGAUAAAUAACAACAGUUGGUCCACUUUGGCGAAUGUCACGUCAUAUUUUACGUUACUUUAUCAAGCAACAAAUUGUGAAACUAUUAAUAAUAUUAGAAAAAAAAAACUUUAAGAACCAAUUGAAAUUUUGUAAAACUCCAGUGAUGAUGGGUGAAAUUAACAAUAUUUUACCAAUAUAUUUCUUUCACCUUUCCUCAUAUCAACAGUAUAUGAGUAGAGUGGCAUAUCUUUGCCUAUUGGCAUCAUUUGCUUCAAUUUCAAAAUUCAUAUUGCACUCUGUGUGGUCCUCCACCUCUUUCUUUUUCUAUCAAUGUGGUCCAUGUCCAAAGAGAUUUUUUUCAAGAAAAGAUAAAGACAUGGUCCCCUAAUUAUGUUUAUUCUUUAGUCCAUGUUUGAUUCUCGUUACUCUAUUUUAAUUCAUUUUUCAUAUUUAUUUUUAACAAGACAUUUAUACAAUAAAAUAUUUUACACACAAAUUCAUAACUUUUCCAUACUUUUUAACUAAUUAUCCAAAAAAUAUUGUUCAAAACUAUGUUUUUAAAUUUUAAUGCCACCAAACAGAGGCUUAAUUUCUUUCAAAUGAUAGGUCCUAGGUCCAAUGAUACUGUUGAGAUAUCAUGUCCCGAACUUUUUGUCCUCUUCACUAUCAUCUAAUAAAUUUUUGACAUUUCUGCAUAUUAUAUUUUCUUAGCAAACAGGAAGACGUCAAGGGUUAUAUGUCGAGUUGUCAAAAAAUUUGAUGAUGUCACCCAACUUACUAAGAUGAAAUGAUGUGUUAAUAUAUCAAAAUAUAUAUUAAAGGGGAUAACAAAGAAAUCAAAUUUGGACAACAUAUUAGCCCAUUUUUUAGCCACAUUAUUAUUAUUAUUAUUUUUUUUAAAUUCAUUUUCAAUCAUACAAUUUUUUAAAUAAAAUAAUUUGACACUUAAAUCCAAAAUUUUUCCCUUCUUAACCCUCCAAAAUAUUACUACAAAAUCUAUUCUCCAUAUAAAUGGAACUGAAACAAACCCUUAAACUCCUAAUAUAACGGUCUACAAUGUCAUGGAAGUGCAUUUAUGUGACAAUAUUUUCUCUAAUUUUUUUUACCAGUUUAAAUGAGAAAGUCACAGCCCAACUAAAGUGGGCUCCAGUCAUGCAUGUGACUUCAUUGAGUUUGUAAGGAACAAUUAUUACUUCACAAGCAACUGCUUCCUUGCAAAUUAUAAUAUAACAAUUUUUAAGGCAGUAUUCUAUGUCAUUUCAAAUUCAAUUAUCAGAUACCAGACGACCUUAUUUAUUAUAUUUAAUCUGAACGAGUGAAUUGUUCAAAUUGUCAUUAAACUUUGUAAAAAAUUUUCAAAAGGUCACUGAACUUUAACAAUCACUAAAAUGAUCACUGAAUUUUGCAAAAUAUUUUCAAGGGGUCACUGAACUUUAAAAAUCGUCUAAAUGGUCAUCGAAAUUCGCAAAAGAUUUCAUAGGGGUCACUGAAUUCAAUGAUAUCGUGAAAACCUUUUGUAAAGUUUAGUGACCUCAUGGAAAUCUUUUAUAAAGUUCAGUGACCAUUUAAAUGACUUUUAAAAUUUAGUGACCCUAUAGAAACCUUUUGCAAAGAUCAAUGAUCAUUUAGAUGAUUUUUAAAGUUCAAUGACCCUUCGAAAACUUUUUACAAAGUUUAGUGACCAUUUGGACAAUUCACUCGAUCCGAACCAUGCAUAGUCGAAUAUCUCAUAAAAAAACAUAAAAUAAUUUGAUGUACCUAGCACAAAAAUAAAUACGAUCCAUAGUUUUAACUUAUAACUAUUAAAUGAAUAAUUUAGGUAGAAUUGGUUUAACAAAAAGAAAAAUUCCUAGAGAAAAACAAAUUGAGAUAAAUAAUAUCAAAAGAGGGGGAAAAUCUAGAAAAGGUUGGUGUUUGGUACAAGGGAAAAAUGAUUGCCAAAUAUCUAUUUACAACUCUCAAAUUUGUGUCUCCAAAGCCGCUUAUCUUGCCCAUUUCUUUGUUUCUCUCUCUUCCCCCAUCUAAUCCCAUUUUGUUCACAAAACAAGAGAUAGAGAGAGAAAGAGAGGUUGAGAAGAUCAAGAUAGAGUUUUUUUGUUGCCAUGGCAUUUGCAGGAACAACCCAGAAAUGCAUGGCUUGUGAUAAGACUGUGUAUUUGGUUGAUAAGUUAACCGCUGAUAAUAGAGUCUACCACAAAGCUUGUUUUAGAUGUCAUCACUGCAAGGGAACCCUCAAGGUUUGUUUGAAACUGUGUAUGAAAUUUUUAUCGUAAUCUCACUCUUUUAUGAAUGGAUCUUUGAUUCUGAGUCUGGCCUUCAAGUAUAGGUAGGUUCUUGAUUGAAUAUAUUUAAUUUUGGACUCGGGAUAUUGAAGAUUGAGUUUAAAUAUAUAGCUUAAGCUUUCAAAUGAAGUGAUUCAGCAUGAUAUCAGAGCUCGAAAUUGUUUGGAAUUCAAGUCAUUUCACCACCAUAUCGACCAAAAUAGCACGAUGAUUAAAGUGAUCCAAUGUGAAUGGGGAUUUAGUUUAAGCUUUAGAUGAGGCCGUGGUUCAAAACAGAAAAAUCUUUUUGUUCUUCUGCAUAAUUUGGACCUUCCUUUUCAGUUUACUUUGCAUUCUGGAUUGAAUAAAUAUUACAUAAGACCAAUGUAUUCCAUUAACAUAACGUUCAUAAUUGAUUAUAUCAAGUUUCACCAUAGGAACUUGAGAAAAAAAAAAAAAAAUUGUUAAUCUGUGGUUUAAUUGCAGCUUGGGAACUACAAUUCCUUUGAGGGAGUUUUGUAUUGCAGGCCACACUUUGAUCAACUCUUCAAAAGAACUGGCAGCCUUGACAAAAGCUUUGAAGGUAAAUAGGGAGAAAUAAGAGCACUAGAUUUAAUUGUUUUGCACGAAACAUUUAUUUUAUGAUUCAUAAGCUGUAUUGGACAGUAUUGUGCAAAGUGUCAAAGAAGAAAAAGAUAUUAAAAUCUUUUUCCUUAUUCUGUCCAAUCAUGUCCGAUACUGCAUACUAAUGAUGUUGAUAAUGCAUCCUCCUUAACGUUUCCAGGAACACCUAAAAUUGCAAAACCAGAGAAACCAGUUGACACUGAGGUAAGAGUCCUCAUCAACACACUACAUUCAUUUAUUGAUCACAAAACCCAAAAUGAUCUAAGUUCAUUGCCAAUUUUCGGUACAUGGAUUCAUAAUCAAUCUCCUAAUCAUGAUGUUUAAUACAGAAACCUCUGGCGAACAAAGUUUCAAGUAUGUUUGGUGGAACAAGAGAAAAAUGUGUGGGAUGCAAAAAUACUGUCUAUCCAACUGAAAAGGUAAUAAAUCCUAUCAUUUGAAUCCGGUGGACCACACUAUCCACCUAAUCUAUAGUUCAUAUUUGUAACAACCCAGGCCAUGAUCUUUCCCUCAAGUAAAACUUAAGUUGAAUCAUAGUACCAAUUGGGCAACUCACAUCUAGCUAACACUUAUAGUAUAUUUCACAAUAUGUUUGGUAUGUAAGCACAGGGAAAAUUAUGAGCGAUACUCAUAAUUUUCUUGCAUCACAAAUGUGUGCAGGUGUCAGUGAAUGGAACUGCAUACCACAAGAGCUGUUUCAAAUGCACCCAUGGAGGAUGCGUUAUCAGUCCCUCAAACUACAUUGCACAUGAGGGGCGUCUUUACUGCAAACACCAUCAUAUCCAACUCAUCAAGGAGAAAGGCAACUUAAGCCAGCUAGAGGGUGAUCACGAGAAGAAUUCCAUAGAAACAUAGUUCAAUGAGAAUAUAGUCUCUCCUGGUUUUGCUUUUCUGUCUUGUUUUCUUUUUUCCACCUCUGUUUUUGGUGUACUACUUCUGGAGUUAAACUGGAUUUCUUGGAGAAUGGGGCUUAAUAUUUCGUGAACUAUCUAUUACUAAAUAAUCUAAUGGAAUUCUAUCUUUCAGCCAAUUUUAUUAUAAUUAAACUACAAGAAUUACAACACAUUAGUUCAUCGGAGAAAAUUGAGUUAUUUAAGCCCUGUACCAAUAAAUCCAUGAGAGAUUAUUUUUGUAAAAGGGCUCCAUAAUUAUGAAACCCGUAUAAGAUACUGAGGAAUACACUAUUUUUUAAAAUUCAGCUGAAAUUUAUAAAAAUUGAUAUUCCAAAAGUCCCAUUAUUUAAAUAAUAUUGUUUUUAAAAUAAACAAUAUUGAAUUUUUUCAAUGGUAGAAUACUAGGGUAAGGUGGUAGGUAGUACCAUUUUCAAAUUAGUAAUCUUGUUAUGCGAUUAUUCAUUAGUACUUUGUUGAUUUAUCACUUGCACUUCGUUGAUCUUUUUUAAAAUUCUAGUAACAAACCAAACUUUCGAUUUUGUUGAAAUGCUUAAUUAUGGAUUAUCUAAAUACAUGUUUGGGUAGGUUAUAUCUUCACCAUUCAUGUUCUACGACUUUAAUGCAUGCAUUUUACAGAACCAACAACUUAUAAUCACUUAAAAUAUAUUAUAACCACCUACCAAACAUGCACUAAAUGGUUCAUGGUUUGUUAUUAGCAUAAUUUUGCAUUCUUAUAAAAGAGUAAUAAUUUUAAUCGUUUAUAUGAGGCUUAUGCCACACCUAACAUACGCAAAACACACCAGCACCGGACUUAGCCUUUUCAAACACCAAUUGAGGAAAGGAAAUUAAUUGGGUUUUGAGAAAUGCCUCGAGCUCAAAGUAGGUCAUGUACUUCAGCUACCAAUUCGAAGUCAAAUAAUAGAGUUCCUUCGACAGAAUCUUGUCAUCUUCAUCUAGAGUUACGAAAACAUGGAAGGAAUUGCCCAAAAUUACUUUCCACAGACUAAACAUUGAUCCCUUAGUUCAACCAAAGCAACAACUAUGCCAUCCUUUAAAUUCGGAAAAGUAUGAGGCCUUGAACAAAGAAGUGCAAAAGCUAACCCCGUGCUCGUAAAGAAGAAUAAUGGAGACUGAAGAAUAUGCACAGACUUCACCGACCUCAACAAAGCAUAUUCUAAAAAUAGAUUUCUUCUACCAAGAAUAGAUCAGAUGGUUGAUGCUACGGCAGGAUAUGAAUUACUCAGCUUUAUGGAUGCGUAUUUAGGGUAUAAUCAAAUACAUAGGUAUGAACUGGAUCAAGAGCACACCUCGUACAUAAUUAAUCGAGGCUCUACUAUUAUAGGAUGAUGCCUUUUGGACUGAAGAAUGCCUAAGCCAUUAAUCAACGCCUUUUGAACUCCAUGUUCACCAAAUAAAUCGAAAAAACCAUGGAAAUGUACAUAGAUGACAUGCUAGUUAAAAGCACAGAAGCCAAAGAUCACCAGCAAUGCCUUGUUGCUGAUAUGUUCUAAAUCUUGAGAAAAUACAGGAUAAAACUAACCUGCACAAGUGUGCCUUUGUGUAAGCUCUAAAAAAUUCUUAGGCUAUUUGGUGAAUCGUCAAUGAAUGAAGGAAUAUUCCAAAAAGCAAUGAGCCAUCAUCGAAGUGAAAGCACCAACAAGACCAAAAGAAGUCCAAAGCCUUAUUGGAAGAAUAGCUGCCCUCAGUCGCUUUGUGUUAAUAUCGAUGGAUCAGUGCAAACCAAUUUUUGAUGUCCUAAAAAGAGGAAAGAAGUUCCAAUGGAGCCUCGAAUGCCAAAGUGCCUUUGAUGAACUAAAGUUGCGACUAGCUCAACCACCAGUCCUAUCAAAACCUAAAGCAAGUGAAACUCUAGUAUUGUACCUCGUCGUGUUCGAGCAUGCAAUUAGUGUUGUCCUAGCUAGGAAUGCAGAUGGAGCACAACAUCCCAUUCACUAUGUUAGCAAAGCUCUUCAUAAGGCUAAGCUUUGUUACUCCUCGCUAGAGAAAUUGUCCUAUGCCAUGAUCAUCGCAGCUAGGAAGCUAUCCAUACUUCCUAGAGCACAUUAUCGAGAUUCUAACUAAUUAUCUAUUGAAGCAAACCUUGUAGAAACUAGAUACCUCAGGUCGAAAGGUCAAAUAGACCAUAGAGCUUAGACAGUUUGACAUAAGGUACAAGACUCGUAUCUCUAUAAAAGGCUAGGCCCCCGCUAACUUUGAGCUCAAGGCAUUUCUCAAAACCCAAUUAAUAAAGUGUUUGAUUCCAGUUCAUCCUACAAUGCCAUUAUGGGAUAGCCUCAAAGCCGUUGUGUCCUUAUACCAUUGCUUGCUUAAGUUUCCCAUUCCUCAUGGUGUAAAUGAAGUCAAAGGAAAUAAAGAGGUUGCUAAGAUAUGCCAUAAUGGUAUAUGGACACGAUGGCUUUGAGGUUGUCCCAUAAUGGCAUCGUAGGAUGAAGUGGAAUUAAACACCGCAAAUUUAGCAUUCAAUCUAACUCGAUGUGGACUUUCACCAGACUCAAUAGUGAGCUUGAUCAGCACUUUUGCCUCAAUUAAAGCUCCGUUCAACCUUAAAACCGUAUUUGGUUUGGGCUAUAAGAAGUGAAGUGGAAUACCUAUCCAUUUCAGUGUGUUGGCAUAAAAGUAUGUUGAGGGAACUCUCGGUGUUGAAUAAGACCUUGGGGAUUUUAGCCUUGGCUAGGGGUAUUGAGAUCAUAAAUACUGCAAAAUAAGGAUGUGGGUUCGCAUCCUUAUCAUCAAAUGACAAAUAGUUGUCCAUUUGGGUUUUUCGAUGUUUCUCAAUGAUACUGGUUAUAGUUAAGUUGGCUACUAUAGGUUUUUUUCAACCUUGCUUUCCCAUUUCGAAUAUUUCGCUCGUCUCUCAACAUCUGGAUAUGAGGUCUAGGUAGAUCAAUAUUGUAUGCUCAAACUUCAGCCUGAUCUCCUUGCACCACUCCAACCUCAUUGGGUGGAAAACUUCAUACUGUAAUGGUAUAUUGAAGUGGUUGUCUUUAGUUCGUGUAAUAUGGGUCUACCCAAAAUGGCGCUGUAGCUGGAAAGCAAAACGACAACUACGAAGUCUGCUGUGGUUUUCCUUUAAUAUGGAGACUUGCCUAAUUUCGCAGUCAAAGCGAUUUGUCCUCGGGCUUCGAUGGGAUCUUCGAAAAAUCUUUGUAGUCUUUUGGAUUAUGGCUAGAGUUAUCUAAGAAUCUCAUUUGCUCCAGACUUCGGGAAUAUAGCACAUUAACUGAGUUCCUGUUAUCUAUAAGGGUUCGGUAUAUUUGUAGUACUGUGAUCGACAUGGUUAUUACCAAAGAGUCUAUUUGGUCGUGAAGAAUUCUUCGAGUGUCUUAAUCUGAAAAUUCGAACCCCUCCAGGUAUGGUGCAACGUCAUGGUCGAACUUGGGUUUUUUAUUUCAUAAUUCUAUAAGAUGCGUGUGUUAUUGAGCUUGUUUGUGCUUCUCUUUUGUGGAUCCUUCGAUGUACUGAUUGCCGCCUAUCACAUUCUGACCUUGACUUGGGGAUGGGGAUUUCGAGUCGGGAGAUCCUGCUGAGCUUGUUGUCUUGCCCCUUGUUGGUAAGGUUGUUGGUGACAAGAUGGGUUUAUCUUUCGAGGUUUAGCAAAAAAUUCUUAUAGGUGGCCUCGUCUGAUUAAUGAGUCCACUUCUUCUUUCAAGUCUCUACAAUCAUAUGUAUUAUGUCCUACCAUCUUGUGGUAUUGACAGUACUUGUUUUGAUUUCUUCCCGUCGGAUCCUUUUUCUAGGGUAGGGGUCUGCAGAACACCUCCUUAUCACCUGUUUGGAUGAAAACUUCUUCUAAGGUAGCAUUUAGUAGGUAUUCAGGAAACCUGUCUGGGUAAGGUUUGGGUCGAUCUCUUUUCCUCCAGUCUUUCCUUAUCUCAUGGGUGAAUCCUUUAUCUAACUUUUUCUCCUUUGCCUGUUAAGGUGUGCAGCUCUGCCUUAGUUUUCUCUUGAUCUAAGGUUACCUCCUCUGUGGUUAUAUGUUUUUCAAGUUGACCGAGGAAUUCAUGAUACGUUUGGGGUCCAUCCUUAUAUAUAGACCACCAAAACCUUGUUCGAGGCCUUAGUCCAAAGAAGAAUGCCAUGAGGGAGGCAUCAUCGAAGAUCUUUUCUACCUCCAUGGAUUGCUUGUUGAAUCUAUGGAGGUAACCUUUGAGUAGUUUGCUUUUCCUUGUUAGAUGCUCACCAAGCAUUCUUUAGGCAUAGUUUUGGCCUUGGAUCCUAUGAAUUGAGCUAAGAACGCCAUGGUUAGGUCGGUCCAGUUAUUAUGGAUCUUUGAUACAGCAGUCAAAAACAUGUUUGAGCUUUAUCUCCCAACAUUAGUGGGAAAGCAGAGCACCCUGUAGCUCCACCAAGAAGUGUACUUGUCUAAGUCAUUAGAAGGAUCUCCUUCCCCUUCGUACCUAGUCAACUAUGGCAUCUUCAAUUUUUCGAGCAGGGGCUCAUCAAGAAUAUCUUCUGUGAAGGGAGAGUGGCCUUUACCAAGGUAUUUCUCAACAGUCCCCUUGUUUUUGGCUUCUUUUUAGCUUCUAAAUCAUUAAUAAGCUUUUUUAAGGCAUCCAUUUCUAGUUUUUUCUGUUCCAGUGGGCAUUUCGAAAUUGAAUUCAAAUCAUUCACUUUGAGGUAUGACUGAAUGCUUGGAGCCUAACUUGUCAAAUACGCCGCUAGCUUUCCUAACGAUUGGUUUUGUUGCUGAACGAGGGCUUCUAACCUCGUCCAUCCGGCUUUUCAAAGAUUCUUUUUCUCGAAAAGUGGAGGGUUCGCCUAGUGGGAAUUCGUUUAGCUCGUUCCCUAUUUGGGAACUCCACCUCGUUAUUGGGUGGAGAAACAUAAGCCUAGUUUCGCUCCUAUCUACCGACUAUGUUCAUCAACUUUUCAAUGGAUUCUCUACGACAACCAUUUGAGGGUCGUCGAUUUCAGCUUAACCCUGUUCCCUUUGGACAUUGUGGGACGUUGGAUUUAUUUGGAUGAGUGUGGGAUUGAUUCCCAAACACCAAACUAUUGUCCAUGAUGGUAUUUCUCCGUAAGUUAAAACUUNNNNNNNNNNNNNNNNNNNCCAUCAAAAACCCCCCCCCCCCCCCCCCCCCCCCCCUUUGGAAUGGGGCUAUUUACACAAUGCCUCCUUCAGGCCCUCCUUUAAGCGCUAAUCUAUUGACGGCAAAAAUUAGCGUGUUAACCUUUGGGGAAACGUCAAGAUGGAAAAUAUAUUUUUUAGCAAUCUUCCGCCCCCAUUUUUUGGUCUUUCUGUAGUGUGUAGUGUUUGUGUGAUUUUCAUUUUUCUAUUUCUUGUGAGAGGUAGGUUUAGCUCAGCUUGCCCUUGAGAUGGACCAUUGGCUUCUAUUUAUAAGGGGGAAGAGCUUUCCCUUUGGUCAGUCUUAGGUCUUGUCAAUCAAAUUAGCUACAAUAGCGAGCUUGGGGGCCCGUGCCAGUGUUCUUGCCUUCAUUUGGCCGCCAAGGUCAGCCGCCAUCAAAUCAUCAUGACAUUGGUCAGUAUUAUAUUAUCAGUUAAUAAUGAGCUGACAUCGAGUAAGGGACUUCUGCAGCUGAUUGGUGGGAUAUGGAGGCAUUGACGUCAUAUUCGUCAAAUAUUCCUAGUUGAUUGGGGGGCCGAUUGUUUUGACUGAAUGGUUGGUAGAGAAUCUGUAAUCAUGAUGUUUUCUGGGAUUACGACGGCAAUUAUUCCGAGCUGACCUUGAUGAUCCGCCUUGAACUUUUACACGGAUUAGGAGGUUUUAAGAGGUCAUUUAGCUUAGGUCGGAGCUCAGAGUACAACAUCCGUUAUUUCUGUUGUGAAUUACAUUUUGUUGGAUUACCAAACCGGC
rnacentral:lncRNA from 1 species